CCAAUCCCCAUGGGAGUCGGUCAGAUUAUACUCAAUAUAUGCAUUCGAGUUCCUGAGUUGGAACCCGGCGCCUCCAAAGACUUCCAUCCGCUGGGCGCUCGGCUAAGGUUUGCAAUGAAACAGUUUCCUAAAUAGCUCGAGACUUGGAGGUACUCCUAGGAAAACUUCGCACAGAUGUACAAAUAUAGCCAUGUGCAGUACUCCAUUGGGAUUCAAGUGGACGAGUUGAAGUUUGUAGUACUCGAGAAUACCUCUGAAGAAGUCGAAGGUAGGCACGGCCAGUCCCCUUUCCACGAAGUGAGCAAGCAUCACCGUCUCCGCCGGAUGUUCCUCAAACUGCCACGCAUUGGGAAAUGCGGGGCGCCAUUGCACGAUUUCCUUCGGCUGAAGAAGCUUGGCA
rnacentral:lncRNA from 1 species